CGGGAGGCAGCAGUGGGGAAUAUUGCACAAUGGGCGCAAGCCUGAUGCAGCCAUGCCGCGUGUAUGAAGAAGGCCUUCGGGUUGUAAAGUACUUUCAGCGGGGAGGAAGGUGUUGUGGUUAAUAACCACAGCAAUUGACGUUACCCGCAGAAGAAGCACCGGCUAACUCCGUGCCAGCAGCCGCGGUAAUACGGAGGGUGCAAGC
rnacentral:rRNA from 1 species